rnacentral:rRNA from 1 species
GCGAACGCUGGCGGCCGGCCUAACACAUGCAAGUCGAACGAACCUUUCGGGGUUAGUGGCGGACGGGUGAGUAACACGUGGGAACGUGCCUUUAGGUUCGGAAUAACUCAGGGAAACUUGUGCUAAUACCGAAUGUGCCCUUCGGGGGAAAGAUUAAUCGCCUUUAGAGCGGCCCGCGUCUGAUUAGCUAGUUGGUUGAGGUAAUGGCUCACCAAGGCGACGAUCAGUAGCUGGUCUGAGAGGAUGAUCAGCCACAUUGGGACUGAGACACGGCCCAAACUCCUACGGGAGGCAGCAGUGGGGAAUCUUGCGCAAUGGGCGAAAGCCUGACGCAGCCAUGCCGCGUGAAUGAUGAAGGUCUUAGGAUUGUAAAAUUCUUUCACCGGGGACGAUAAUGACGGUACCCGGAGAAGAAGCCCCGGCUAACUUCGUG